AGAACGAACGCUGGCGGCAUGCCUAAUACAUGCAAGUCGAACGAACUCUUCGGAGUUAGUGGCGCACGGGUGCGUAACGCGUGGGAAUCUGCCCCUUGGUUCGGAAUAACAGUUGGAAACGACUGCUAAUACCGGAUGAUGACGAAAGUCCAAAGAUUUAUCGCCAAGGGAUGAGCCCGCGUAGGAUUAGCUAGUGGUGAGGUAAGGCUCACCAAGGCAACGAUCCUUAGCUGGUCUGAGAGGAUGAUCAGCCACACUGGGACUGAGACACGGCCCAGACUCCUACGGGA
rnacentral:rRNA from 1 species